CCCGCCUAGGCCUCCUAAAGUGCUGGGAUUACAGGCCUAAGCCACUGUGCCCGGCGCUGAGGCUCUCUUAAACAGUGCUUAGGGUCCAACUUCUAUGGGUCAAACCUCAGCUCCCUCAAUGUGGAGCACAGUAACUUAAUUUCCCCAACUGUCAGACUCAUGCACCCAUAGGGGGAUGAAACCAAAGGCACCCAUCUCAUCAGGAGAAUGAAAUGGGACAGCCCCUUAGCUUAGCCCCUGGGAGCUAGCAAGCACUCUCUAAGUGUUGUCUUUUAUUAUCAUAAUUAAAUACAGGAUAGAGGGGGACUUCUCGGCCUCAGCACUACUGACAUGUUGGGUGAGAUCAUUUUUCGUGGGGUGUGGGGGCCUGUCCUGUGCAGAGCAGCAUCCCUGGCCUCUGCCCACUCCCUCCCUCCCAGGCUGUGACAGCCAACAGUGUCUCCACACAUUGCCAAGUGCCCCUUGGGGGCCAAAUGCCCCCGUUAAGAAACAUUGAUACAGAACAGCCAGAUCUCUAUUGUCUAUGAAUCUAAAUGACUUACAAUUCUAUCGUCCUGUGACUUCCCACAGGCACAAUGUGGCAUGUCCAAAAAUUCUAAGUGCCUCAUCUAUCAAACUAGCUCCUCCUGUGUUCCCACUUCGGUGGCCACAACUAGGUGCGGGAAGUUGGGAGCCCCCUGGAGUCUUCCUCUCCCUCACCUUUACACUGACCCCAGUCUCCCUGGUGGACCCAUCCGUUCUCAGGCUUUAAAUGCUGUCCUCGUGCUGAUGACAUCCAGAUUCACUGCUCCCCUGACCUCCAGACCUGGGGGAAGUCCACCUCCCAUCUGCCGACACCCUCCCCUUUUGGGUGAGGGCAACUCCAUUUUCUGGUUACUCAAGUUGAAACCAGACACAUCCUUGCUCCACUCUCUCUCACCUUUCCUAUCCAUUCCUCUCAGUAAAUUCUAUUAGCUUCUCCUUUAGAACAUAGCUGCAAUCUGGUCACUUCUCACUGCUCACCUGGUCUGGGCCACCAUCACUCCUCAUCUAGACUGCUGCACAGUCUCCAGGCUCCUUCCCUCACCCUGACAGUCUAUUCUCAGUUGAGCAGCCACGGAGACCUAGUAGAGGCCUGAACCAGCUCCCCAACCCCUGUUCAACAUCCCCCGGCAGGCCCAUCUCGGCAAAGGCCUCGCAGUGAGCCUGAAGGCCCCUGACCCCUACUCCUGUGACGUCAUCUCUGGCUCCCCUUCCCUUUGCUUUUGCCAGUUCUCAAGCACACCCGGCAUGCUCCUGCUUCACAGUUUUUGCACUUGCUGUUCCCUUGCUCCUGCUGUAGCCCAGAAAGCUGUCCUUCCAGCACUGACCCCCUUCAGGUCUUUCCUCAGAUGUUACCUUCUUGGGGAAGGUAACAUCUUCUUCUGACCGUCCUAUUUAAGCCUCACCACGCAUCACCCACCACACCCCAUGCUCCUUCCUGGCCUGAAUUUUUCCAUAGCACUGAUUGCAAUCAAUACACUCUGUAUGUAUUUUAUGUGUUUACAUGACAUGCUUAUUCAUAAUGUUUCUCAUUGGCCCACCCCGACUCUGUCUGUUUUAUAGACAACUCCAGCACAGCCAGCAGAGCCUGGCAUGGAGAGGACAUGCACUGAGCCUGAGAUGAAUGGGAGGUUAGUGAGGGCGGCAGCGGCAGAACAAAGGAGACUGGCACACGUGAAAACUUUGCGAAAGCAAAACAAGGCCAAUAACUAAACCCACCUCCUGGGACUGUGGUGAAGAUGAAAUGAGACCAAGAAGCCAGGGGCUGGGCACAGAACCUGCACGUGGUACUUGGUUACAUGGGCUUGCCUGUUUCCUGCAGCUGGAAGCAGGAUGGUACAGACAGCGUGAGAGCCACAGGCCGCCCACGUAGCUGCACCACCUCCUCCCCGAGCUACCAGGCAUGGGCAGGCCUCCUUGGCCUGCUGGUGCACACUGGCAGCCUGCAGCCCAGCAGUCUAAGGGGAAAUUGGAAAAGACACUUGACAAGACUGAACAUCCAUUUUGAUAAAUAUUCUUCGUUAAAUGAGAACAGGUGGAUCUUCACCUGGAUAUACUCAAAGCCAACACUGCAUUCAGUGGAGAGACAACGGCAGCAUUCCUAUCAAAGCCAGGAAAAAUACAGGCACGUCCACUGAAGACCCCUGGUAUAGAGCAUCUCCCUGGAAGGGUUCACCAACCAGACAAGAGAAAGAAUGGAAAGCUAUGAAAGCUGGAGGAGAGGGUGAGCUGUUAUUACUCCUCCUGUUAAAUUAUUUUUCAGGGUACUUGUUUAUAUGUGUGGAAGUUCUAAGUCAAUGAACUGAAAACCCAUCAUAAUCAAUAAAAGAAUGCAGUAAAUCAGCUGGGUGCAAAAUUAAUACAUAAAAAGAACAACCUAUUUGUAAAUUAGGAGAAACAGAAAUGCAUGCUAUGUAUAUAAGUAGGAAAAUAGGGAUGCCAGCAGCAUAACAGAGAUGCCAAUUCUCUCUACCUUGGUCUAUUAAUUUAACACAAUAUGAAUAGUAUUUCUUUUUAAAUGAGGUAAGUUGAUUCUUAAGGUUCAUAAGCAAAAAUAGCAAGUGCACUUUUGAAAGAAAACAUAGUGAACUCCGACCAGCCCAACCAAUUAUUAAAAGACAGUACAGAGGCUGGGCAUGGUGGCUCACACCUGUAAU